ensembl:lncRNA
CUUGCCUUUCAAUAAUCUGAAAUACAGUAGUGUUGAGUCCAUGUAAAUUUUUCUUCAUUACACAUAAUGCAUGACAUUUGUGUGAAAUAUACAAUGAAUUGUAAAUGAUAAGCCACAUAUCUAUAAUAAAUAAUCUUGCCCUUAAAUAAUCUGAAAUACAAUAGUGUUGAGUCCAUGUAAAUUUUUCUAAUGCAUGACAUUUGUAUGAAAUAUACAAUGAAUUGUAUAAGCUACAUAUCUAUAAUAAAUAAUCAAUGCUAACUUUUGUCAUGUGACCUGAGUCAAAGAAUGAGUCAUCUUUUUGUCUCUAGGUGCUGUUGUCACACAUGGUGUGGUUCGGACUGGAAAACUUUCAGCUUUGUGAGAGCAAAUGCAACAAGCUGUCACACAGACUUUACAUUUAUUUAUUGAGGCACUUUUAUCUAAAGUGCCUUACUCACUUUUAUCUAAAAUGAUUCAUCUGUUAAGGAUACUUAACAUGCUAAUCACAAAGAACUUUACUGUAGAAAAUUACUGUAUUGGGAAACUGUUGAUAUCAGAUGUGAGAUAAUACUAUGGUACUAUGUUAUACAUACACCAUAAUGAAUGAUUAACUUACAUUCUACAUUACUUUUGUCAUGUGACAGGUACUGUUGGAAUUGGCUCAGCUGGUGUCACAUGACUACACCUCUCUGAAUGACAUGCUCAGCAAACUGUCUGCUGUCAUCCUGCCAGUUACAAAAGCACAAUUCUGUACUAUUUUCAUCUCAGAUGACAGUUCCACGGGGCCUUUCUCAAAGAUGGUCAAUAUAGAGCAUAAAGAAACCAAUUGCUCUUUCCAGUGUUCUACAAGGAGGCUGUCAUCCUUUCAGCAGAUCGCCUCUGUUUACUGGACUUUGGCUUCAGUGAUUUUGAUAUGUCCCAGAAUGCCAUGA